AACUAUGGGACCAUUGUUAAAGGAUAUUUUGCAUGGACAUUUGCUGACGAUUUUGAAUGGCCGAAUGGUUAUACCAUAAGAUUUGGUCUCUACUACACUGAUUACCAGCAUAACUUGCAUAGAUACCCUAAGAGGUCAGUGCACUGGUUCACAAAUUUUUUGAAGGGAUACAAGUGGAACAAGGAACCAAUGUCGAGCUCUCCACUGCGUUUCUACAGUUCUUCUCCAAGUGAUCAUCAGUACCUGGAUGAGUGAAAAGUCAUUUUUAAAUAAUAACCUGGAUUGCAUAUCCAGAGAAUUAUAAGUUUGUGUUUAAUUAUUGUGCUUGUGUUUGAUGCUUCCAGCAUGGACUAGGAAUUAUCUCUUACCUAGUUUACCAUGACUGGAUUAAAAUUGUGAUGGGACUUAUAAUUAAAUAAAGCUGUGUUUACUUAUUAUCCAGAUCAUGUUUUCCCCUUUUUGCAUCGAUCCUUUGGUAUGUAUAAGAAAAACGUUUGCUUCGUAUUAAUGCAUGUUCAAAUUAAUAUUUAUCAAAUUAUAUAUAUACAAGAAAAUCAUCAGGCUAAUGUUAGAAUUGUUAGACAGUGAGAAUUCAAGACGAACACAAUCAAUGGUAUAAGAUGAAACAGAAAUCAACUUUGAAUUCUAUUUUAUUUGAUCUUAAGGUGUCCUUAUUUAACACCAUUCUUGCAAAACAUAUAUGAAUCACACACUUGUAGAAUUGGUCAAGAAAGCUUGGGAUUUCCUCUCAUAGUAAUAGUUAUUAGAGGAAGAAGCAUCAGCUGAGAAGAUCAUCACUCCAUUGACAUCAAAUCCAUUUGCCUCCAGCAGAUUUAAAGCAUCAAAAAUGCGUCUCCUUGAAUGCCCCUUCCAUUCACUUCAUAGCUAGGUAACAAUUUAUCCUUAUCGAAUUGCAUCAAUGGCAAAACCAAGUAUGAAAUGGAAGUCGAUGUUGUCUUCAACUGGAACAGGAUUGAAUGUCACGGGUGGCACCAAUGUACUCCAUCAUCACCUUCGCAUCUGAUCAGAGUUAGAAUAACAAUGUAUAAAUCAAGAGUUUGUGGAUUUCAGCCGAUAUAGAUUUUCUUUCCAGAGGUGGAGAAAUACUCUUGAUGAUCAUUUCCUGUUUUCUUGUAGAAAAUCAAUUAUACAAAUAAAAAUAAUAGAUGAAAACUCCUGGCCCAAUCAAUAUAAAUAACCUUUGAUCUUAAAGGAAAUACUGGAUUCUAAAGCCCUCUUAUUUCUUUCUUUUUUUAACAAAGAAAAACACGCCGAAGGAGCAGACUGCGUAGGGCCAAUUUUUCCUUUUAUUGCGAAAAUCAAAGGGAAAUAGAUGCACAGUUUGAUGUCCUACAGAAAUCGUAAAAUUUCUAUUGUUUUGACAUAAUCAUAUCUUUGAAUAUCUUGAAAUCCCAAAGAAAAAAAACAAUUAUAUAAAAGCAAGUAUAUAAUCAAUAAAUGAAUCCAUGAACUUUUAUUUUUAUUACAACGGCCGGAUAAAAAGAUUAGUUUUUUUUUUGUUUUUUUUUUUUAUAGUAAUCGAGAAAAAAAAUUAGUUUUAUGUUCUUGAGAUAUUAUUAAAAUCUCAAACAAACAAAAUGUUAUCACAUAAAAGCUCAGAUAUACAUACCACAGCAUUGGUGACCAAGGAGAGCAACUCCAGCAACACAGAGGAGAAAGAGAUGAAGCUUGACCGACCUCAUGGUUUUCUGCUGUUUGUGUGAUUAAUUGUGCAGGUCAAAGGAUUAGUACUGCAUGUUAACCUAUAUAAUAAACUGACAGUAAAUUAAUCUAUUUUUGCGACACUUUCAAGGCAUCAUUGCAGAUUUCUUGUAGAAAAUUAAUCUAUUUUUGCGACACUUUUACUUUUUAAGAGCAUAUUUGCACCACAUUCUCUUAAAUUUUGAAUUUUUUUUGUUAAAAAUUAUUUUUUUUUUGUUUUCAUAUUGUUUUGAUGUGCUAAUAUCAAAAAUAAUUUUUUAAAAAUAAUAAUAAAAACAUUAUUUUGAUGCAUUUAUAAGCGAAAAACACUUUGAAUCACAAUUCCGAACAGGUCACCACAAUCCCAAACAGGUCACCACAAUCCCAAGUUGGGUCAUGACACAUUUGCGCCUAACUCCACAUUGAGCCAAGAAGCGUCUGCGCCUAACUUCAAGUUGGACCAUGAAAAGUCCGCGCCCAACUCCACCCUGGGUCAGGACACGUCCAAGCCCAACUUCAAGAUGAGCCAUGAUUUGUUCCCACCCGACCAUUCUUGGGAUCAGCACGCAAACUAAAAUUAACUCCUCUCAGGUUCAACAUAUAGCUAGAAAGUAACCUCACACUGAGUCUCCCAUGCUCCGGGCCUAGGCUACUAAUUAUGAUACCCAUCACAUCUUAUUAAUUAAUUACAAAUAAACAGUUCAUGCUUAUAUUAAUGAGAUGUGAUGGCACAAACAAUAGAAUAAUAUUAAUUUUAACAAGAUUACAUUUCUACCCCUCACAUAUUAUAUGAAACAAGUCAAGUUAGGUAAUAUAAAAGGAAGCUUGAGUACACAGAAAAAAUGUUCGAAACCUUAUACUCAUAAACAUAAACACAUUCCUUCUUGAUAAGGGAGAAUCUCAUGAUUCUCCAUAACAUACGCUGCUAUCCCUUCUGUUACUGUAAUAUCGCUAAUAUAUAGCUGUAGGAUAAUUACGCAAUUAAUUAUAUCCUCAUCCUUCCUAUUUUAUAACAAUGUAUAGCUGGCGUAUGUUAAUAUAUAAUGAAUACACUUCUCCUCAUUAGGUUAAGGAGACAUUCAACCAUUCUAUUGUCUUGUAAACAUCUUUACUUCUUCUUCUUCCCUAACUUCUAUAUUUUCUUCUCCUUCUUCUUAUAUAUCUUCAUAAAAGCUUAUUAAUACCUUCAUUGCUAUCUUUUUGCCACAUAAAAAUAUAUCGUGUUGACUUGAUCUUCGAAGGGUCCCCAAUCAACACCCUUAGAUGUCUCUAUCGGACACUGUGUAGGUAUUCGUUUAAAAGAAAAUUUACAACCUCUGAAGAAAUUCAUUAAAGGAGAAGUCAAUGUAAUUUAAAAGUGAAGGUCGUAGGACACAUUAUGAAUGAUCUAUAGGGGUUCUCAGAAAAAAUUCCUUCAAGAAUAUUCCUUUCAAUUUUCAAGGCAUAGAAGAUUUAUUUGAAAAUUGGGAUUUGAGUUGAUUUAUCCGGUGGUUAAUUUAGUAAAAUAAAUAUUUUUUAUGGUUAAAAGACUUGAUUUUAAUUAGAUUUCUUUAUAAAUGAGAGGUUUGAAAUUGAAAUCUCUUAGAGAAAAAAAGAGACUAGUACUUGUUGAAUCACUACUCAUUGGCGUUAAUUAAAUUUCUUUUUUUAAUCCACAAUUAAACACUUUUUAAUUGUUAACUUGGAAGUUCUUCGAAGAGUUCAAGUAAUUCUGUGUUUCAAAAUAUUCUAUGGUGAAUAAAGGAUAAAAACCGAUCAACAACUCUCUACAAAUCAACAUAAACCUUCGGUUAGGAUCUAAAUUUAUCCUUCAGUCAUUUUUGAGAUGGAAAAAGCUGAUGAUCUUGUUAUCUUUAUUGCUUUAGGGAUGAGUAUGUAUAUCAUCACUCAUUUAUUGCUCUUCUUUAUUGCUGUGCAAGCAACUUUCUGAUCCGUGCUUGUUUAAAGCUCGAAAUCCAAUCUAUAUCUUUCCUUUUCCCUAUCGGAUCACCUUUAGUGGUUGAUCUGGUUAGCUUUCACGCGUACAGUUUCCAUUUAGACAUAUACGGAAAGAAAGAGGAAUCCCCCAGUCCCAUUUUUCUCUCCUCUGGCCUCCCGUAAAAGCCAUAUUCUUAGGGUUCUUGGACUGAAAUUCUGCAAGCCCUCUUCGAGAGCACCGAGGGACGGGUGGAUACAAGUUUUCCAAAGGAAAUGGACCCUUCCGAAAAACACAUUCAGAGAGCAUGCAUAAUGCUUGGCUUCCUUUUCAAUGACUCCCCCCACUACUACAAUCAUAAUCCUGCUUUUUCUUCGAUGAUAAACCCGGGUUCAUGUAUGAGUGCAAUGCAUGCAGAGCGGUAUAAAGCGAUCCUCAUCCCCCUUUUGAUCAUGUAUCAUUUUUUUUUCUAUUAUUUCUUAGAAGAUAUUGAUGUACAGAUCUGCAGAUUAUAGCUACCAGUUUUCAGAAGAUAUUGUUUUUUCUUGUAAGAACUUAAAAUCAACUGUUUUUAAGGAUUUCCAAACUGAUGCAUGGAGUUGGGAUCGUCGUAAACGCCAGGGAUCAAUUUGUUCAAUUCAUCUUCUUCCAAAACAAUUUAGUCGAUUCCUGCGCUCACAAUUAAUGGACAAUAUUUUAUACUACGCAAAAACUAAAAAAUCAUCAUGAAAGCAAGUUUAGCGUAUGCUUUGAGUAUAUGAUAGCUUUUUUUGAAGUAAACUAGGAUUUAAACUGGAUAUAGAAGUGUUAAUUACCAAUGCUUUAAAUCUUGAGGGAUCUAGUGCUUCACAUUUCAGGGUAUAUCAUCUGUUUGGCUGAUCGUCAGAAUGUUCAUGGAUAUCCAUGCAGAUGCAAUCUUUUGGCGUUUUAAAUGCAAUACUUUAGUUAUCAAAAAAAUAAAUAAAUACCAAAAGCUACUUUUUUAAAUUAAAUUGUUGUCGCCCCACCAAAAAAAGUUUUGGCCACCCAAGAAAAGCAAUUCAGGAAAAGGCCGUAUAUAUCAAAUAAAACAUGAAUGCACAUUUCACGUGUAGAUUAUAAUCUCCACUGUUAGAGCCUCUAUAUAAAGGGUUUGAUCAUAAGAACUUAAACCACAAAGCCUUUGAACAAUAAUCACACUUAGCAGAAAUGGCUAUCAGAGAGAUGUCUCUUCUUUUAGGGUUCUUAGUGUUGCUUAGCUCAUUGGCUCCUACCAUGCCAAUGACAUAUGUUAACUGCACAAUCCCAUAUGAUCCUGCAUUUAGCAGAAAUUCCUUCCCAGAUGGCUUUGUUUUUGGGACUGGCUCAGCUGCCUACCAGGUAGCUAGAAUAUAUGAACUUAUCCUUCAUGGGAUCCAGUCCUGGCAAUAUGUUUUGUUUGUUACUAUAUAUAUAGUUUAUAUUUUAAUCUUGAUUUCUUCAUGCAUGUUUGUUACUAUAGAGUUUAUAUUUUAAUCUUGAUUUCUCUCUUUUUUUAUAUGUAGUUUUAUUCCUAUAUAGGUCAGUGUUGAUGGUCGAAUCUUAUGACAGUAGAGGAAGAAACUAUACAUCGAUCCCUUUUUUAAAGGGCGGGCAUGGAAUGUAUAGUUCCUCUCAAUCAUAAUAUUCAGAAAAACAUCUGUGUAUUUCUAGAUAAAUCAAAGAUAAUACUCAUAUAUUAAGGAGAUUAAGAUAUCCUCUAAAGCAUUACAAGCUAGCUUGCAUCUAUACGUUAUUACUUUAUUUAUUUGUAUAAUAAUAAAAAUAUAAUUUAUUUAUUAUUCUAUUUUAUUUGUCUAAUUAUUUCUCUAUCCUCAUUUGAAUCAUAAAUUAAAUUUCUCUUUUUCCCUCUAUCAUUAGGUCUGAAAAAAAAGAGAAAAAAAAUGGUAUAUAUGGAAAAGAGAGUGUUCAUUCAGCCUAAAAUGUGGACUAAACACAUGCCUAAUAAUGAAUAAAUCAUUGUUAUUAUUACUCUUAUUAACUUUUGGUCCAUCUGGAAGCUCCAUCAAGGCCUUCGGCUAUGGUGGGAGUUGCCUUCUUCAGAUCUAAUCCCACCCCUUCAAGGGUCCAAAACCUUAAAUUCUUUAAGUGGUGAGGAGUUUGCUAGUAAUUUAUGAGUAAAUGACAAGUGUAGGAUUUGAUCUUCUUACUGAUCAGGUCAGAGAAUAUGCUGUAAUAUCUAAUAAUCAUACAGAUCAAAUAGUUAUUGAUCAAUUAAUCCAAAAACUUCUUCAUAAAAAAAACCCCAAAAUUUAAGAUUUGAGGUAAAUUAGCAAACGUAAAUUCCUAUAGUUUUAGUUAGCAGAUAUUGUUCAUAUGUAUUUUGAUAAAACCACGAUAUAGAGUAAUUUUUCAGUAUUUAUUGUUGUGUAUACUAGCAAUUAGGUUUUCAUAUCUAGCUAAUGUUGAAACUAUCUUUGUGCAUAUGGUGUCUAUUCAGUACGAAGGUCAUGCAAACAAAAGUAACAGAGGGCCGAGCAUAUGGGACACAUUUACUCAUGACUAUCCAGGUAUCUCAAGCAUAAAAAGUCUUUGGGAGGAAGGGAGACUGAUUAUGCAAUACCAUGGGCUAUUAUAGUCGGUUCUUAAUCUAUUAUUAUUUAUUAUAAUUUAAGGGGGGAAUUGGCUAUUUUUGUUCUCCAGUAAGUUAUAUUUUUGGAGCUAUAUCAAUUAUAUACAGACUCUCAAACAAAUUAAUUUGAAAUGUUAUUUGGAUGAAACUUUGCAGCCAGAAUAAAAGAUCAUAGCACCGGUGAUGUUGCAAUUGAUUUCUACGAUCUCUACAAAGUAAGGAGUGCUUGACAAUGUUUUUGUUACAAAUGCUUUCUUGGUUCAGCACUUGGUAACAAUGAUUAUGGCAGGAUGAUAUUCGGAAGAUGAAGGACAUGCAUAUGGAUGCCUUUAGAUUCUCCAUCUCUUGGACGAGAGUGAUACCUAGUAAGUUUCUUAUGGCCUAGAUUAGUGGCAUGAGGCGUCAUUUAGGUAUACAAUGUUUGCUUAAUUUUUUUUUAAUUAAUCACAUUUUAUUCUAAUGAUAUAUCUUUUAUAUAUGUGUUUGAAAUAGGUGGGCAGGUGCAAUGGGGAAUAAAUGAUGAGGGAAUCGAGUUCUACAACAACCUCAUUGAUGAAAUCAUAUUGAAUGGUUAGCACAUAUUAACUCUUAUUUCAAAAUAGUUCGGAUUAUAUAUAUAUAGUUGUAUAAUUAAUUUCUUAUGAUCUACUUCAUAUAUACAGGACUUGUGCCUUAUGUGACUCUUUUUCAUUGGGACACUCCUCAAGCAUUGUUUGAUAAGUAUGGAGGUUUUCUAAAUGAAAGCAUUGUGUAAGUUUCAGAUUUAAUUUUUCAUUAAAAAUAUAAACACCAUUAGGAGUGUUUUUCAAGUAUUUGUAUUCGAAUGAAGUCAAGGAUUUUAACUUGUAUGAUGAUGAGUUUUUAUUAUCCAAUCGACAGCAAUGAUUUUCGAGAUUUUGCUGGCUUGUGCUUUCAAAAGUUCGGUGAUCGGGUGAAGCACUGGUUUACUUUGAAUGAGCCAGACACUUACAGUGUUCAUGGCUUUGACUCGGGCGUCGGUGCACCGGGACGAUGCUCGGCGUGGGUGGAUAAAGCAUGCCAAGCUGGAGACUCUGCUACCGAACCUUACAUCGUCACUCAUAAUUUGCUUCGUUCUCAUGCAGCAGCUGUAAAACUGUAUCGGGAAAAGUACCAGGUACGUUCGUAAUAUAACAAAACUGAUGAACCAAAAAGAUUAAUCCAUGAAACAAUUACUGCUUAUCUACAGCAGUCGAGUGAGAUCUUCUUCCUCGUGUUGUCUUCUGUUGAGUCUUGUAAUAAUGGAUUGUACGUAGGAACAACAAAAUGGCAAGAUCGGCAUCACACUCUGUUCCUUUUGGUACGAACCUUAUUCAGAUACCCCAGCAGAUUAUGAGGCAGUUCAAAGAAUACUUGAUUUCAAUCUUGGAUGGUGAGUAUUUCUUACACUACUAUUGUUGAAGUCUUGAUACAAACACAAAAUAAAAAUUGUCCAAAAAACUAAAAGAGAUUUUGAUGUUUCUAGGCACUUGAGCCCAGUCACUUAUGGUGACUAUCCAAGGAGCAUGAGAAGUUUAGUCGGAGAUCGAUUGCCGAAUUUCACUGCCCAGGAAAUUUUAGAUCUUCGAGGAUCUUAUGACAUUCUUGGAUUAAAUUACUAUGGUGCAUACUAUGCACAAAAUCUUACCCAUGUUGAUCCUGAUCCAACUCACCUUCGUUAUGCAACAGAUUCUCAUGUCAAUCUUACUGGUAAACUCACAGUUAAAUUCAUAAUAAUUUGUGAAAUUGGGAGAUAGAAUAUGGAAAGACAAUGAAUUAGCCAACUUAAAACUCUCUGAGAAAGAGAACCUGGACAGAAGUUUUAUGUUCAAAUUUUAUAAAAUAAUGAAAAGAGAAUUAAGAGUUCCUAGGGGAAAACUCAAGAAUAAAUUAAUUUUAAUUUGAGCUUAUUCAAGCUUAGUGCAUUACUAUUCAUCAUUUAUUUUCCUUCUUGUUUCACAGGAGAGAAAAAUGGAAAGCUAAUUGGACCGCAGGUUUGUGCGCAGUAAAACCUUCCUAUAAAAAUUAACAAUCAGAUACAUUACAUUAAUAUGAUUAAAUGCUGAUUAAUUAGCUAAUCACUAGAAAAACACAUGAUUAACACGGUGUUUCUGAACAUGUAUAGGCUGCUUCACCCUGGUUAUAUGUUUAUCCAAAAGGGAUACGAUAUCUUCUGAACUACACCAAGGAUCAAUACAGGAAUCCAACAAUUUAUAUAACUGAAAAUGGUAUGGAAAGUGUUAUCAAAUCUCAAUUUAAGUGCAGUUAACUGUUAUAUUGUUAGACUAAUCGUGAUUUCUUCACUGUUUUGAUCUAUCAUCAGGAGUUUCUGAUUUCAACAACGGAUCCCAGAUAUCAUUGAAGACAGCUCUUAAUGAUACUUGCAGGGCAAAAUACUAUCAUGACCAUCUCAAGAAUGUUCUACGCUCCAUUGAGUGAGUUUAAUCUCUCUCUCUCUCUCUCUCUUGCACACACAGCUAGCAACUGUCUACUAAUUUGACAGUCAAAAAUCUUGGCAGAAACUAUGGGACCAUUGUUAAAGGAUAUUUUGCAUGGACAUUUGCUGACGAUUUUGAAUGGCCGAAUGGUUAUACCAUAAGAUUUGGUCUCUACUACACUGAUUACCAGCAUAACUUGCAUAGAUACCCUAAGAGGUCAGUGCACUGGUUCACAAAUUUUUUGAAGGGAUACAAGUGGAACAAGGAACCAAUGUCGAGCUCUCCACUGCGUUUCUACAGUUCUUCUCCAAGUGAUCAUCAGUACCUGGAUGAGUGAAAAGUCAUUUUUAAAUAAUAACCUGGAUUGCAUAUCCAGAGAAUUAUAAGUUUGUGUUUAAUUAUUGUGCUUGUGUUUGAUGCUUCCAGCAUGGACUAGGAAUUAUCUCUUACCUAGUUUACCAUGAUUGGAUUAAAAAUGUGAUGAGACUUAUAAUUAAAUAAAGCUUUAUGUUUACUUAUUGUCUAGAUCCUGUUUUCCCCUUUUUACAUCGAUCCUUUGGUAUGUAUAAGAAAAACGUUUGCUUCGUAUUAAUGCAUGUUCAAAUAUUUAUCAAAUUAUAUAUAUACAAGAAAAUCAUCAGGCUAAUGUUAGAAUUGUUAGACAGUGAGAAUUCAAGACGAACACAAUCAAUGGUAUAAGAUGAAACAGAAAUCAACUUUGAAUUCUAUUUUAUUUGAUCUUAAGGUGUCCUUAUUUAACACCAUUCUUGCAAAACAUAUAUGAAUCACACACUUGUAGAAUUGGUCAAGAAAGCUUGGGAUUUCCUCUCAUAGUAAUAGUUAUUAGAGGAAGAAGCAUCAGCUGAGAAGAUCAUCACUCCAUUGACAUCAAAUCCAUUUGCCUCCAGCAGAUUUAAAGCAUCAAAAAAUGCGUCUCCUUGAAUGCCCCUUCCAUUCACUUCAUAGCUAGGUAACAAUUUAUCCUUAUCGAAUUGCAUCAAUGGCAAAACCAAGUAUGAAAUGGAAGUCGAUGUUGUCUUCAACUGGAACAGGAUUGAAUGUCACGGGUGGCACCAAUGUACUCCAUCAUCACCUUCGCAUCUGAUCAGAGUUAGAAUAACAAUGUAUAAAUCAAGAGUUUGUGGAUUUCAGCCGAUAUAGAUUUCUUUCCAGAGGUGGAGAAAUACUCUUGAUGAUCAUUUCCUGUUUUCUUGUAGAAAAUCAAUUAUACAAAUAAAAAUAAUAGAUGAAAACUCCUGGCCCAAUCAAUAUAAAUAACCUUUGAUCUUAAAGGAAAUACUGGAUUCUAAAGCCCUCUUAUUUCUUUCUUUUUUUAACAAAGAAAAACACGUCGAAGGAGCAGACUGCGUAGGGCCAAUUUUUCCUUUUAUUGCGAAAAUCAAAGGGAAAUAGAUGCACAGUUUGAUGUCCUACAGAAAUCGUAAAAUUUCUAUUGUUUUGACAUAAUCAUAUCUUUGAAUAUCUUGAAAUCCCAAAGAAAAAAAACAAUUAUAUAAAAGCAAGUAUAUAAUCAACAAAUGAAACCGACCUCAUGGUUUUCUGCUGUUUGUGUGAUUAAUUGUGCAGGUCAAAGGAUUAGUACUGCAUGUUAACUUAUAUAAUAAACUGACAGUAAAUUAAUCUAUUUUUGCGACACUUUCAAGGCAUCAUUGCAGAUUUCUUGUAGAAAAUUAAUCUAUUUUUGCGACACUUUUACUUUUUAAGAGCAUAUUUGCACCACAUUCUCUUAAAUUUUGAAUUUUUUUUGUUAAAAAUUAUUUUUUUUUGUUUUCAGAUUGUUUUGAUGUGCUAAUAUCAAAAAUAAUUUUUUUAAAAUAAUAAUAAAAACAUUAUUUUGAUGCAUUUAUAAGCGAAAAACACUUUGAAUCACAAUCACUACCACAAUCCCAAACAGGUCACCACAAUCCCAAGUUGGGUCAUGACGCAUUUGCGCCUAACUCCACAUUGAGCCAAGAAGCGUCUGCGCCUAACUUCAAGUUAGACCAUGAAAAGUCCGCGCCCAACUCCACCCCGGGUCAGGACACGUCCAAGCCCAACUUCAAGAUGAGCCAUGAUUUGUUCCCACCCGACCACUCUUGGGAUCAGCACGCAAACUAAAAUUAACUCCUCUCGGGUUCAACAUAUAGCUAGAAAGUAACCCCACACUGAGUCUCCCAUGCUCCGGGCCUAGGCUACUAAUUAUGAUACCCAUCACAUCUUAUUAAUUAAUUAUAAAUAAAUAGUUCAUGCUUAUAUUAAUGAGAUGUGAUGGCACAAACAAUAAAAUAAUAUUAUUUUUACAAGAUUACAUUUCUACCUCUCACAUAUUAUAUGAAACAAGUCAAGUUAGGUAAUAUAAAAGGAAGCUUGAGUACACAGAAAAAAUAUUCGAAACCUUAUACUCAUAAACAUAAACACAUUCCUUCUUGAUAAGGGAGAAUUUCAUGAUUCUCCAUAACAUACGCUGCUAUCCCUUCUGUUACUGUAAUAUCGCUAAUAUAUAGCUGUAGGAUAAUUACGCAAUUAAUUGUAUCCUCAUCCUUCCUAUUUUAUAACAAUGUAUAGUUGUCGUAUGUUAAUAUAUAAUGAAUACACUUCUCCUCAUUAGGUUAAGGAGACAUUCAACCAUUCUAUUGUCUUGUAAACAUCUUUACUUCUUCUUCUUCCCUAACUUCUAUAUUUUCUUCUCCUUCUUCUUAUAUAUCUUCAUAAAAGCUUAUUAAUACCUUCAUUCCUAUCUUUUUGCCACAUAAAAAUAUAUCGUGUUGACUUGAUCUUCGAAGGGUCCCCCGGACAUUGUGUAGGUAUUCACUUAAGAGAAAAUUUACAACCUCUGAAGAAAUUCAUUAAAAGAGAAGUCAAUGUAAUUUAAAAAUGAAGGUCGUAGGACACAUUAUGAAUGAUCUAUAGGUGUUCUCAGAAAAAAUUCCUUCAAGAAUAUUCCUUUCAAUUUUCAAGGCAUAGAAGAUUUAUUUGAAAAUUGGGAUUUGAGUUGAUUUAUCCGGUGGUUAAUUUAGUAAAAUAAAUAUUUUUUAUGGUUAAAAGACUUGAUUUUAAUUAGAUUUCUUUAUAAUGAGAGGUUUGAAAUUGGAAUCUCUUAGAGAAAAAAAGAGACUAGUACUUGUUGAAUUACUACUCAUUGGCGUUAAUUAAAUUUCUUUUUUUAAUCCACAAUUAAACACUUUUUAAUUGUUAACUUGGAAGUUCUUCGAAGAGUUCAAGUAAUUCUGUGUUUCAAAAUAUUCUAUGGUGAAUAAAGGAUAAAAACCGAUCAACAACACUCUCUACAAAUCAACAUAAACCUUCGGUUAGGAUCUAAAUUUAUCCUUCAGUCAUUUUUGAGAUGGAAAAAGCUGAUGAUCUUGUUAUCUUUAUUGCUUUAGGGAUGAGUAUGUAUAUCAUCACUCAUUUAUUGCUCUUCUUUAUUGCUGUGCAAGCAACUUUCUGAUCCGUGCUUGUUUAAAGCUCGCAAUCCAAUCUAUAUCUUUCCUUUUCCCUAUCGGAUCACCUUUAGUGGUUGAUCUGGUUAGCUUUCACGCGUACAGUUUCCAUUUAGACAUAUACAGCAAGAAAGAGGAAUCCCCCAGUCCCAUUUUUCUCUCCUCUGGCCUCCCGUAAAAGCCAUAUUCUUAGGGUUCUUGGACUGAAUUCUGCAAGCCCUCUUCGAGAGCACCGAGGGACGGGUGGAUACAAGUUUUCCAAAGGAAAUGGACCCUUCCGAAAAACACAUUCAGAGAGCAUGCAUAAUGCUUGGCUUCCUUUUCAAUGACUCCCCCCACUACUACGUACGUACAAUCAUAAUCCUGCUUUUUCUUCGAUGAUAAACCCGGGUUCAUGUAUGCGUGCAAUGCAUGCAGAGCCAUAUAAAGCGAUCCUCCUCCCCCUUUUGAUCAUGUAUGAUUUUAUUUUCUAUUAUUUCUUAGAAGAUAUUGAUGUACAGAUCUGCAGAUUAUAGCUACCAGUUUUCAGAAGAUAUUGUUUUUCUUGUAAGAACUUAAAAUCAACUGUUUUUAAGGAUUUCCAAACUGAUGCAUGGAGUUGGGAUCGUCGUAAACACCAGGGAUCAAUUUGUUCAACUCAUCUUCUUCCAAAACAAUUUAGUCGAUUCCUGCGCUCACAAUUAAUGGACAAUAUUUUAUACUACGCAAAAACUAAAAAAUCAUCAUCAAAGCAAGUUUAGCGUAUGCUUUGAGUAUAUGAUAGCUUUUUUUGAAGUAAACUAGGAUUUAAAAUGGAUAUAGAAGUGUUAAUUACCAAUGCUUUAAAUCUUGAGGGAUCUAGUGCUUCACAUUUCAGGGUAUAUCAUCUGUUUGGCUGAUCGUCAGAAUGUUCAUGGAUAUCCAUGCAGAUGCAAUCUUUUGGCGUUUUAAUGCAAUACUUUAGUUAUCAAAAAAAUAAAUAAAUACCAAAAGCUACUUUUUUAAAUUAAAUUGUUGUCGCCCCACCAAAAAAAGUUUUGGCCACCCAAGAAAAGCAAUUCAGGAAAAGGCCGUAUAUAUCAAAGAAAACAUGAAUGCACAUUUCACGUGUAGAUUAUAAUCUCCACUGUUAGAGCCUCUAUAUAAAGGGUUUGAUCAUAAGAACUUAAACCACAAAGCCUUUGAACAAUAAUCACACUUAGCAGAAAUGGCUAUCAGAGAGAUGUCUCUUCUUUUAGGGUUCUUAGUGUUGCUUAGCUCAUUGGCUCCUACCAUGCCAAUGACAUAUGUUAACUGCACAAUCCCAUAUGAUCCUGCAUUUUAGCAGAAAUUCCUUCCCAGAUGGCUUUGUUUUUGGGACUGGCUCAGCUGCCUACCAGGUAGCUAGAAUAUAUGAACUUAUCCUUCAUGGGAUCCAGUCCUGGCAAUAUGUUUUGUUUGUUACUAUAUAUAUAGUUUAUAUUUUAAUCUUGAUUUCUUCAUGCAUGUUUGUUACUAUAGAGUUUAUAUUUUAAUCUUGAUUUCUCUCUUUUUUUAUAUGUAGUUUUAUUCCUAUAUAGGUCAGUGUUGAUGGUCGAAUCUUAUGACAGUAGAGGAAGAAACUAUACAUCGAUCCCUUUUUUAAAGGGCGGGCAUGGAAUGUAUAGUUCCUCUCAAUCAUAAUAUUCAGAAAAACAUCUGUGUAUUUCUAGAUAAAUCAAAGAUAAUACUCAUAUAUUAAGGAGAUUAAGAUAUCCUCUAAAGCAUUACAAGCUAGCUUGCAUCUAUACGUUAUUACUUUAUUUAUUUGUAUAAUAAUAAAAAUAUAAUUUAUUUAUUAUUCUAUGUUAUUUGUCUAAUUAUUUCUCUAUCCUCAUUUGAAUGAUAAAUUAAAUUUCUCUUUUUCCCUCUAUCAUUAGGUCUGAAAAAAAGAGAGAGAAAAAAUGGUAUGGAAAAGAGAGUGUUCAUUCAGCUUAAAAUGUGGACUAAACACAUGCCUAAUAAUGAAUAAAUCAUUGUAUUAUUACUCUUAUUAACUUUUGGUCCACUGGAAGCUCCAUCAAGGCCUUCGGCUAUGGUGGGAGUUGCCUUCUUCAGAUCUAAUCCCACCCCUUCAAGGGUCCAAAACCUUAAAUUCUUUAAGUGGUGAGGAGUUUGCUAGUAAUUUAUGAUUAAAUGACAAUGUAGGAUUUGAUCUUCUUACUGAUGAUCAGGUCAGAGAAUAUUCUGUAAUAUCUAAUAAUUAUACAGAUCAAAUAGUUAUUGAUCAAUUAAUCCAAAAUUUUCUUCAUAAAAAAAACCCCAAAAUUUAAGAUUUGAGGUAAAUUAGCAAACUUAAAUUCCUAUAGUUUUAGUUAGCAGAUAUUGUUCAUAUGUAUUUUGAUAAAACCACGAUAUAGAGUAAUUUUUCAUAUCUAGCUAAUGUUGAAACAUCUUUGUGCAUAUGGUGUCUAUUCAGUACGAAGGUCAUGCAAACAAAAGUAACAGAGGGCCGAGCAUAUGGGACACAUUUACUCAUGACUAUCCAGGUAUCUCAAGCAUAAAAAGUCUUUGGGAGGAAGGGAGACUGUGAUUAUGCAAUACCAUGGGCUAUUAUAGUCGGUUCUUAAUCUAUUAUUAUUUAUUAUAAUUUAGGGGGGAAUUGGCUAUUUUUGUUCUCCAGUAAGUUAUAUUUUUGGAGCUAUAUCAAUUAUAUACAGACUCUCAAACAAAUUAAUUUGAAAUGUUAUUUGGAUGAAACUUUGCAGCCAGAAUAAAAGAUCAUAGCACCGGUGAUGUUGCAAUUGAUUUCUACGAUCUCUACAAAGUAAGGAGUGCUUGACAAUGUUUUUGUUACAAAUGCUUUCUUGGUUCAGCACUUGGUAACAAUGAUUAUGGCAGGAUGAUAUUCGGAAGAUGAAGGACAUGCAUAUGGAUGCCUUUAGAUUCUCCAUCUCUUGGACGAGAGUGAUACCUAGUAAGUUUCUUAUGGCCUAGAUUAGUGGCAUGAGGCGUCAUUUAGGUAUACAAUGUUUGCUUAAUUUUUUUUAAUUAAUCACAUUUUAUUCUAAUGAUAUAUCUUUUAUAUAUGUGUUUGAAAUAGGUGGGCAGGUGCAAUGGGGAAUAAAUGAUGAGGGAAUCGAGUUCUACAACAACCUCAUUGAUGAAAUCAUAUUGAAUGGUUAGCACAUAUUAACUCUUAUUUCAAAAUGUUCGGAUUAUAUAUAUAUUUAUAUAGUUUUAUAAUUAAUUUCUUAUGAUCUACUUCAUAUAUACAGGACUUGUGCCUUAUGUGACUCUUUUUCAUUGGGACACUCCUCAAGCAUUGUUUGAUAAGUAUGGAGGUUUUCUAAAUGAAAGCAUUGUGUAAGUUUCAGAUUUAAUUUUUCAUUAAAAAUAUAAACACCAUUAGGAGUGUUUUUCAAGUAUUUGUAUUCGAAUGAAGUCAAGGAUUUUAACUUGCAUGAUGAUGAGUUUUUAUAUAUUAUCCAAUCGACAGCAAUGAUUUUCGAGAUUUUGCCGACUUGUGCUUUCAAAAGUUUGGUGAUCGGGUGAAGCACUGGUUUACUUUAAAUGAGCCAGACACUUACAGUGUUCAUGGCUUUGAUUCGGGCGUUGGUGCACCGGGACGAUGCUCGGCGUGGGUGGAUAAAGCAUGCCAAGCUGGAGACUCUGCUACUGAACCUUACAUCGUCACUCAUAAUUUGCUUCGUUCUCAUGCAGCAGCUGUAAAACUGUAUCGGGAAAAGUACCAGGUACGUUCGUAAUAUAGCAAAACUGAUGAACCAAAAAGAUUAAUCCAUGAAACAAUUACUGCUUAUCUACAGCAGUCGAGUGAGAUCUUCUUCCUCGUGUUGUCUUCUGUUGAGUCUUGUAAUAAUGGAUUGUACGUAGGAACAACAAAAUGGCAAGAUCGGCAUCACACUCUGUUCCUUUUGGUACGAACCUUAUUCAGAGACCCCAGCAGAUUAUGAGGCAGUUCAAAGAAUACUUGAUUUCAAUCUUGGAUGGUGAGUAUUUCUUACACUACUAUUGUUGAAGUCUUGAUACAACACAAAAUAAAAAUUGUCCAAAAAACUAAAAGAGAUUUUGAUGUUUCUAGGCACUUGAGCCCAGUCACUUAUGGUGACUAUCCAAGGAGCAUGAGAAGUUUAGUCGGAGAUCGAUUGCCGAAUUUCACUGCCCAGGAAAUCUUAGAUCUUCGAGGAUCUUAUGACAUUCUUGGAUUAAAUUACUAUGGUGCAUACUAUGCAAAAAAUCUUACCCAUGUUGAUCCUGAUCCAACUCACCUUCGUUAUGCAACAGAUUCUCAUGUCAAUCUUACUGGUAAACUCACAGUUAAAUUCAUAAUAAUUUGUGAAAUUGGAGAUAGAAUAUGGAAAGACAAUGAAUUAGCCAACUUAAAACUCUCUGAGAAAGAGAACCUGGACAGAAGUUUUAUGUUCAAAUUUUAUAAAAUAAUGAAAAGAGAAUUAAGAGUUCCUAGGGGAAAACUCAAGAAUAAAUUAAUUUUAAUUUGAGCUUAUUCAAGCUUAGUGCAUUACUAUUCAUCAUUUAUUUUCCUUCUUGUUUCACAGGAGAGAAAAAUGGAAAGCUAAUUGGACCGCAGGUUUGUGCGCAGUAAAACCUUGCUAUAAAAAUUAACAAUCAGAUACAUUACAUUAAUAUGAUUAAAUGCUGAUUAAUUAGUUAAUCACUAGAAAAACACAUAAUUAACACGGUGUUUCUGAACAUGUAUAGGCUGCUUCACCCUGGUUGUAUGUUUAUCCAAAAGGGAUACGAUAUCUUCUGAACUACACCAAGGAUCAAUACAGGAAUCCAACAAUUUAUAUAACUGAAAAUGGUAUGGAAAAUGUUAUCAAAUCUCAAUUUAAGUGUAGUUAAUUGUUAUAUUGUUAGACUAAUCGUGAUUUCUUCACUGUUUUGAUCUAUCAUCAGGAGUUUCUGAUUUCAACAACGGAUCCCAGAUAUCAUUGAAGACAGCACUUAAUGAUACUUGCAGGGCAAAAUACUAUCAUGACCAUCUCAAGAAUGUUCUACGCUCCAUUGAGUGAGUUUAAUCUCUCUCUCUCUCUCUCUCGCACACACAGCUAGCAACUGUCUACUAAUUUGACAGUCAAAAAUCUUGGCAGAAACUAUGGGACCAUUGUUAAAGGAUAUUUUGCAUGGACAUUUGCCGACGAUUUUGAAUGGCCGAAUGGUUAUACCAUAAGAUUUGGUCUCUACUACACUGAUUACCAGCAUAACUUGCAUAGAUACCCUAAGAGGUCAGUGCACUGGUUCACAAAUUUUUUGAAGGGAUACAAGUGGAACAAGGAACCAAUGUCGAGCUCUCCACUGCGUUUCUACAGUUCUGCUCCAAGUGAUCAUCAGUACCUGGAUGAGUGAAAAGUCAUUUUUAAAUAAUAACCUGGAUUGCAUAUCCAGUGAAUUAUAAGUUUGUGUUUAAUUAUUGUGCUUGUGUUUGAUGCUUCCAGCAUGGACUAGGAAUUAUCCCUUACCUAGUUUACCAUGACUGGAUUAAAAUUGUGAUGGGACUUAUAAU
rnacentral:lncRNA from 1 species